CCUACGGGAGGCAGCAGUGAGGAAUAUUGGUCAAUGGACGAGAGUCUGAACCAGCCAAGUAGCGUGAAGGAUGACUGCCCUAUGGGUUGUAAACUUCUUUUAUAUGGGAAUAAAAUGUUCCACGUGUGGGAUUUUGUAUGUACCAUAUGAAUAAGGAUCGGCUAACUCCGUGCCAGCAGCCGCGGUAAUACGGAGGAUCCGAGCGUUAUCCGGAUUUAUUGGGUUUAAAGGGAGCGUAGGUGGAGUGGUAAGUCAGUUGUGAAAGUUUGCGGCUCAACCGUAAAAUUGCAGUUGAAACUGGCAGUCUGGAGUACAGUAGAGGUGUGCGGAAUUCGUGGUGUAGCGGUGAAAUGCUUAGAUAUCACGAAGAACUCCGAUUGCGAAGGCAGCUCACUGGACUGCAACUGACACUGAGGCUCGAAAGUGUGGGUAUCAAACAGGAUUAGAUACCCGAGUAGUC
rnacentral:rRNA from 1 species